rnacentral:rRNA from 1 species
AUUGAACGCUGGCGGCAUGCUUUACACAUGCAAGUCGAGCGGCAGCGCGGGGGCAACCCUGGCGGCGAGCGGGGAACGGGUGAGUAAUGCAUCGGAACGUAUCCUCGAGUGGGGGAUAAGCCAGCGAAAGUAGGGCGAAUACCGCAUGAGCUCUGAUGAUGAAAGCGGGGGACCUGCGAGGGCCUCGCGCUGGAGGAGCAGCCGGUGACGGAUUAGCUAGUUGGUGGGGUAAAGGCUUACCAAGGCGACGAUCGGUAGCUGGUCUGAGAGGAUGAUCAGCCACACUGGAACUGAGACACGGCCCAGACUCCUACGGGAGGCAGCAGUGGGGAAUCUUCGACAAUGGGCGCAACCCUGAUCCAGCCAUGCCGCGUGAGUGAAGAAGGCCUUCGGGUUGUAAAGCUCUUUCGGACGGGACGAAAUGGGCGGGACUAAUACUCCUGUCUCAUGACGGUACCGUAAGAAGAAGCACCGGCUAACUACGUG